rnacentral:rRNA from 1 species
UAGGGAAUCUUCGGCAAUGGACGAAAUUCUGACCGAGCAACGCCGCGUGUGUGAAGAAGGUUUUCGGAUCGUAAAACUCUGUUUUUAUAGUAGAACAAGGACGUUAGUAACUGAACGUCCCCUGACGGUUUCUAACCAUAAAGCCACGGCUAACUACGUGCCAGCAGCCGCGGUAAUACGUAGGUUGCAAGCGUUGUCCGGAUUUAUUGGGCGUAAAGCGAGCGCAGGCGGUUUCUUAAGUCUGAUGUGAAAGCCCCCGGCUCAACCGGGGAGGGUAAGUGGAAACUGGGAAACUUGAGUGCAGAAGAGGAGAGUGGAAUUCCAUGUGUAGCGGAGAAAUGCGUAGAUAUAUGGAGGAAAAAAAGUGGAGAAGGCGGAUCUCUGGACUGUAACUGAAGAUGAGGCAAGAAAGCGUGGGGAGCAAACAGG